GCGGAUGUAGCCAAGUGGAUCAAGGCAGUGGAUUGUGAAUCCACCAUGCGCGGGUUCAAUUCCCGUCGUUCGCCCAUCACAUUAUUUCAAAUUCAAAAAAUGAGAUUUUCAAUAUUCCUAUUUACGGCGACGGAGAAUAAAACUAUCACUAUAUUUUUUCCUUUUCCUACUUCUUCUUCCAAGCGCAGGAUAACCCCAGGGGGUUGUGGGUUUUUUUCUACCAAUUGGGGCUCUCCCUUCCCCGCCCCCAUGGGGAUGGUCUACAGGGUUCAUAACUACUCCUCUUACUACAGGACGCUUACCUAG
rnacentral:tRNA from 1 species